rnacentral:rRNA from 1 species
GUUUCCUACGGGAGGCAGCAGUGGGGAAUAUUGCACAAUGGGGGAAACCCUGAUGCAGCGACGCCGCGUGAGUGAAGAAGUAUUUCGGUAUGUAAAGCUCUAUCAGCAGGGAAGAAAAAAAGUCUUUGGCUUUGGACGGUACCUGACUAAGAAGCCCCGGCUAACUACGUGCCAGCAGCCGCGGUAAUACGUAGGGGGCAAGCGUUAUCCGGAUUUACUGGGUGUAAAGGGAGCGUAGACGGCAGCGCAAGUCCGGAGUGAAAUGCCGGGGCUCAACCCCGGAACUGCUUUGGAAACUGUGCAGC